rnacentral:tRNA from 1 species
GUUUAAAUAGUUUAGUUUAGAAUUACAAUUUGUGGAAUUGUAGGAGCUUAAAUAUAGCUUUAGACC